rnacentral:rRNA from 1 species
GACGAACCGUGCGGACGUUGUUCGGAAUCACUGGGCUUAAAGGGCGCGUAGGCGGGCUAUCAAGUCCGGGGUGAAAUCCUCCAGCUUAACUGGAGAACUGCCUCGGAUACUGAUGGUCUCGAGGAGGAUAGGGGCACACGGAACUGUGGGUGGAGCGGUGAAAUGCGUUGAUAUCCAUAGGAACUCCGGUGGCGAAAGCGGUGUGCUGGAUCCUUUCUGACGCUGAGGCGCGAAAGCCAGGGGAGCAAACGGG